rnacentral:rRNA from 1 species
CACGGGGGGAGCAAGCGUUGUCCGGAAUCAUUGGGCGUAAAGAGCUCGUAGGCGGCUCAGUAAGUCGGGCGUGAAACCCCCAGGCUCAACCUGGGGACGCCACCCGAUACUGCUGUGGCUAGAGUCCAGUAGGGGAGUGUGGAAUUCCCGGUGUAGCGGUGAAAUGCGCAGAUAUCGGGAGGAACACCAGCGGCGAAGGCGGCACUCUGGGCUGGAACUGACGCUGAGGAGCGAAAGCAUGGGGAGCGAACAGG